rnacentral:lncRNA from 1 species
GGCUAUUUCUUUCUUUUCGGGAAGGGACUCCAAGCAAACAACAUGCAUGUGUAUAACGGCACUGUAGAUUUUCGUAUUAAAUAAAGAAAGUUGCCGGUCCGGUACAUGAAUAGAUUGGUUAGAAAGCAAGGUUUUAAUUUUAAUUAGAUUAGAAAGCUUAAUUUGAGGGUUAAACAUAGAGAGCACAAAAAAAGGGGGAGGUGUUCCACAGGGAAUAUUUUUUAUCUUAUGAACUGUACAUUUGAAAGGUUUAUUAUUUUUUUUAUUUAAUUAAAAAAAGAGAAAAACAAAUAUAAGACAAAUUGUGAAUGGUCUUUCUUCCUUUCUCCCAUUCCAAGAAAUUGCCUCCGUUGAAAUUCUGCAAACACCCCA